rnacentral:lncRNA from 1 species
UGCAACUUCUAAAUCCUGCCCGCACUUCCUCUCGAGGGAACAACAGCUAAACCGCUGAAUGUCCCUCAGUCAAGAGCAUUGGACUGAGCGACGGGGUAGUGUCACUGCUCUGGCUGCAGCCACCAAGGCUCAUGAUGCUCUAAGUGGAGAGAAAGUCCUCCUGGAACCUGACAUGAAGAAGUCCUGCUACGCUGCUGCACGGCCAUCGUCAUGAAAAGCAACAAGAAUGGUAACAUGCUACAGAGCAAGAAGCAAUGAGAAGCCUGUGAGGUAAACCUUUUUAAUUGUGUUAUGUGCAGAGUUAGUAUAAGAAACAUCAAUGAAUUUUCUUUGGAGGUACCUGCUUAUAGCUGAUAUGUAAAAUCUAUGCUUUUCAUUUAUGUACUUCUACCUUUACACUAUAUGUGUCUCAAUUCUUCAAAGCUUUGUUUUAUGGAAAUGUCAGUUCUCCCAUUUUAGACUAAAACUGGG